rnacentral:rRNA from 1 species
UGGGCGUGCCCGCGCUCAAGUCGGCGCCGGCGGGCGUAUUUCCCCUCGUGAUGUAGGUCGCCGCGACCCGUUGCUGGGGACGUCUAAGGCCCGGUUGGACUGGUACCCCGACGUCGCGCGCCUCGGCGCCGGCGAAGGGGGAAACCUCCGGUGUCCUGGCAGCCCUGCGACGGUCGUGCAGCAGAGGGUUUUUCAUCCUCUCGCGGCGUGCAAAAGGUCGGUGACCCACCCGACCCGUCUUGAAACACGGACCAAGGAGUCUAACAUGUGUGCGAGUCAUUGGGCGCACUAAACCCAAAGGCGCAAUGAAAGUGAAAGGGGGGUGCUCCGGGGUCCUCGUGGCUCCGGCGGCGCCCUCCGGGGCCGAUCCCUGACCGGCCGAUGCCGCUGCGGCCGUCCCAUGCCAAAGCGGGGCCAUGGAGAUGCGCGGGGUGAGUCCCUCUCCCCCGUCGCUCCCUCCGGCCUCGUGGGGCGCCCGGCGCGCUCGACGGUCCGAGCUCGCUCUCGCCUGUACGCAGGGGGGCGCAGGCCCGGGACUUGCCAUUCGACGCUGUCGCGCGAAUCUGUUGUUGGCCUCAUCGGCUCUGCUUGGGCUCUCGGUUGGCGUGCCGCGUGUCUUUGGGCGGGCUUUGGGGGGGGGCUCCGGCUCUCUCCCGGGUCCGUCCGGCGCGGUUCCGCCUUCCGAUCCUGCUCUGUCCGGAGUGGCCUAGCGCGCGUGCUGUCGGCAAGUACCAUGAGCAGACAUGUUGGGACCCGAAAGAUGGUGAACUAUGCCUGGCCAGGAUGAAGCCAGAGGAAACUCUGGUGGAGGUCCGUAGCAAUUCUGACGUGCAAAUCGAUUGUCAGAGCUGGGUAUAGGGGCGAAAGACUAAUC